UACGUAGGGUCCGAGCGUUGUCCGGAAUUACUGGGCGUAAAGCGUGCGCAGGCGGCUUUGCAAGACAGAUGUGAAAUCCCCGGGCUUAACCUGGGAACUGCAUUUGUGACUGCAUGGCUGGAGUGCGGCAGAGGGGGAUGGAAUUCCGCGUGUAGCAGUGAAAUGCGUAGAUAUGCGGAGGAACACCGAUGGCGAAGGCAAUCCCCUGGGCCUGCACCUGGACCGCUCAUGCACGAAAGCGUGGGGAGCAAACAGGAAUUGAG
rnacentral:rRNA from 1 species